AACGCUUGCCCCGCCUCUGGGGCCUUCUGAUUGGUCCAAUGUUCUGUGAGUGACAUUGAUGAGCUGCGCUGCUUGGAAAAGUUGAAAUCAUUUGAACAUGAGACGCGCGAGGGGCUGCAAAAGAUGCGCGCGCAGGGGUCAAACAUUCGUAUGUCGCAUUCAUUAAAAAUAAUGGAAAAGGAAUAAGGAAUAAAACACGUUCUGUGUGAAUGACCAACACAUGAAGCACACAAAUAUGACACAUGGCAAAUCUGCAUUAAACUUAUCGUCCUGAAGUUUCUCCUUCAUCUGUGAUUCCCGCAUGCUUCCGGUUUAUGUGCUGUUCAUCAUUGUCGUGUUUCCGGGACUCUGAAGCUCCGCUUUGUAAAGUUUGCAAGUUACAUUUGUCGAGGAAUUUAAUUGAUAAAUUAGGUUGAUUUCACAUUAAAAUAUCUUUAAAUAUUGGUUGAAUCUGAUACUUAACGCGCUAUAUGCAAUGGAAAUGUUUAUAGUCUGUGAUACAGAGCUAAGGACUAAAGAGUAAGUUGUCCUAGACACAAAGUGAGUUGUUGUGAAGAACUACUGGGACAAUUCCCUGUCUGACCACCAGAGGGGGCUAGCAGUUAAUAAACACAAGCUAUCAGCAAGAACUUUCACGGAUUACAGUGAACAUCGAUCAGUCGCUCCUUCAGUUUCUGAAAAGGAUCAGGUGGCAGGAGAGAUCAGCAGCGUGAGGGAGACUUGUUUCAGAUCUGUGAGGAAGACAGAAGCCACAAAAUAGAAUCAAUCAAUAUAUAAAUAACAC